UACAGAGGGUGCGAGCGUUGUCCGGAAUCACUGGGCGUAAAGGGCGCGUAGGCGGCUUUGCAAGUCGAGUGUGAAAUCCCCAGGCUUAACCUGGGGAACUGCAUUCGAGACUGCAUAGCUAGAGUAUGGGAGAGGGAAGUGGAAUUUCAGGUGUAGCGGUGAAAUGCGUAGAUAUCUGAAGGAACACCAAUGGCGAAGGCAGCUCGCUGGGACGGUACUGACGCUGAGACGCGAAAGCGUGGGGAGCGAACAGG
rnacentral:rRNA from 1 species